AUUGAACGCUGGCGGCAUGCCUUACACAUGCAAGUCGAACGGUAACAGGUCUUCGGAUGCUGACGAGUGGCGAACGGGUGAGUAAUGCAUCGGAACGUGCCCAGUUGUGGGGGAUAACUGCUCGAAAGAGCAGCUAAUACCGCAUACGACCUGAGGGUGAAAGCGGGGGAUCGCAAGACCUCGCGCAAUUGGAGCGGCCGAUGUCAGAUUAGGUAGUUGGUGGGGUAAAGGCCUACCAAGCCGACGAUCUGUAGUUGGUCUGAGAGGACGACCAGCCACACUGGGACUGAGACACGGCCCAGACUCCUACGGGAGGCAGCAGUGGGGAAUUUUGGACAAUGGGCGCAAGCCUGAUCCAGCAAUGCCGCGUGCAGGAAGAAGGCCUUCGGGUUGUAAACUGCUUUUGUCAGGGAAGAAAUCCUCUGGGUUAAUACCCCGGGGGGAUGACGGUACCUGAAGAAUAAGCACCGGCUAACUACGUGCCAGCAGCCGCAGUAAAAC
rnacentral:rRNA from 1 species